rnacentral:rRNA from 1 species
AUAAUGGGUCAGCGACUUAUAUUCUGUAGCAAGGUUAACCGAAUAGGGGAGCCGAAGGGAAACCGAGUCUUAACUGGGCGUUAAGUUGCAGGGUAUAGACCCGAAACCCGGUGAUCUAGCCAUGGGCAGGUUGAAGGUUGGGUAACACUAACUGGAGGACCGAACCGACUAAUGUUGAAAAAUUAGCGGAUGACUUGUGGCUGGGGGUGAAAGGCCAAUCAAACCGGGAGAUAGCUGGUUCUCCCCGAAAGCUAUUUAGGUAGCGCCUCGUGAAUUCAUCUCCGGGGGUAGAGCACUGUUUCGGCAAGGGGGUCAUCCCGACUUACCAACCCGAUGCAAACUGCGAAUACCGGAGAAUGUUAUCACGGGAGACACACGGCGGGUGCUAACGUCCGUCGUGAAGAGGGAAACAACCCAGACCGCCAGCUAAGGUCCCAAAGUCAUGGUUAAGUGGGAAACGAUGUGGGAAGGCCCAGACAGCCAGGAUGUUGGCUUAGAAGCAGCCAUCAUUUAAAGAAAGCGUAAUAGCUCACUGGUCGAGUCGGCCUGCGCGGAAGAUGUAACGGGGCUAAACCAUGCACCGAAGCUGCGGCAGCGACGCUGAUGCGUUGUUGGGUAGGGGAGCGUUCUGUAAGCCUGCGAAGGUGUGCUGUGAGGCAUGCUGGAGGUAUCAGAAGUGCGAAUGCUGACAUAAGUAACGAUAAAGCGGGUGAAAAGCCCGCUCGCCGGAAGACCAAGGGUUCCUGUCCAACGUUAAUCGGGGCAGGGUGAGUCGACCCCUAAGGCGAGGCCGAAAGGCGUAGUCGAUGGGAAACAGGUUAAUAUUCCUGUACUUGGUGUUACUGCGAAGGGGGGACGGAGAAGGCUAUGUUGGCCGGGCGACGGUUGUCCCGGUUUAAGCGUGUAGGCUGGUUUUCCAGGCAAAUCCGGAAAAU